CCGACUUGCUGAUUCGAUGUGGCACCUGUAUAACUACUGUUAGUACGUCGGAAAUGUCCGAGUUUCCUAGUUGCGAAUAGUUCCGACAGACGUGGUAUCAGAACGUAUACCAUGGGCUUAUCCUGGCAUGACGUUUUGAUAACCGCGCAAAUCUCUCUCGGACAAGAACUACACAUCCUGCCUCAAGCUUUGACGUCAUCACCCAAGGCACGUUUCUCCAUGCAAACUCUCAUCGACAAGUAACAAGUAAACUACCAUGUAGAUACAGUAUUAUAGCCUUUGUAGUUUCUCGUAAAUUAUUGAUAGUGUGUAUUUCUCGUCUUGUUUAGUAUUCUUUUAAAUUAGCUAGCAACGUUUAGCAGUUUUUAAAAUUACUAGAUUUUCUACAUUUGUAUUGCCCUCUGGCCUUUUGUAGCGAACUAGCUAACCUUAGGUCUCCGUCGAUCAGAAGCAAGGAUGGUUCUGUGCUUAUGUACCGGAUUGUAACCACUACUCCAAAAAGCACACACACAUUUUGUUUUCCGACCCCGAGAGACGUCGCUGGAGCAGUGUGAUAAGGCCAACAGGAGUGUACCCCUCAGAUCAUCCGGUGCAUGGACAUCCUGUGCCAGUGGUAUGAUAUCCUGUGCCAGUGUGAUCCGAGCGCAACCGUCCAGUUGUAGACUACAGCAGAUCGAGCCUGUGGACGGAGAGUCCAACAGGAGUGUAUCCUUCAGACCAUCCGGUGCAUAGACAUCCUGCGCCAGUGUGAUCCGAGCAUGAGCGUCCAGUUAUGGAGGCUACCAGUAGUGGAAAAAGUACUCAAUUGUCAUACUUGAGUAAAAAUGAGGCGUGACAUGCGAAACAUCAGUCUCACCCCACGAGAAGCAGUACAUGAUCAACGCCAUCCUCAGCAAGGAGAUCUGCUGGAAGUGAUGUACUCUCACUCUGGGGAAAGCGGGUACUGACAGGAGGAGCAAUUACGAGUCUGUCAGAGGUCGUCAUGAUGGAGGCUUGGUGGUCAAAACAACACAGAAUCAGGUGUUCCUUCCAAUGAUGUGGCACAGACCUUGGACCUGGUUCCAGUGAGGAUGGUAUUCAGAGGCUGUAAGGCCCUCCAUCAUUGAUAUAGAAAUCAACUUCAAUGGUAAUGCCCCUGCACCAUAAGGACACUUGACCUCUAACCACUGCAGUGGUGCUCACCAGACCAUCCAGACAACACCCCAUCCAAUGAGUGUGAUCUGCUCCACCGACAGCACCAUGCCAGCCUGGUUGCCUGCAUGCCCCAGGUGCCCUUGUUUUUGAACAAUGUCUGGUACAGGGAGAGUUGCGGUUGUUCUAGCUCAGGUUCAAGGAGACAUGCCAUUCCACUGAACCUUCCCUGGGGACGGUUCCUUACCUGAAGAUCCUCCUCUGGGCUCCCGGGACAGAGAGGAUUUGUAGUCUUCGGCCAGGUACAGGCCCCCCCCCACUGACUGCACCUGGUUGGGCCCGGCUGGCUUCCUCCUCACACUCCACAUCCAUACAGCUGAUAUUGUGAACUGCCAAAAUAGGCUGCAUGGCUACACUUAUGAGCUCCAUGGGGGCAUUUGCUUGUGGUAGAGAGAAUUACCUGGUCACUUAUUAUAGAGACCUGACAAGCGGAAGGAUGUUGAUGUUAAGUGCCACAUGCCUUUCUGUGCUUGACUUUGAACACCCUGAAAUGCAUUUGUUGUACGAGUGCUAUAUAAGAAGUUUGACAUUACAACUGUAGAAUAUUUCAACUGUAAGGACAAGUGCAGUUUUUCCAUAAACUUUUAAUUGAUAACUUGAUUUUCACUUGACAUAUCAGUCAGUGCAAAGGAUCCCAUAAUCAAGACUGAAUAAAUACAUUGUUUUUGAA